GUGCUCCCUUACCCUCUUUUUACAUGCUACACAUUGUACAAUCAUUUUGUCAAUGCACUAUGGACUUCAAUUGAUUUGUAAAAAAUGCGAAAUCCAAGUAACGAAAUUUCUUAAUGUAGGGAUCAAUUUUUUUAUCGCUUGAUUAACAGGAAUAUUUUGUAUGCAGUAUUAGGUGUAGGGAGUGUUGAUGAUACCCCAGUAGAACUACCAAAGAAACUCUACAUAGGUCCCCCAAGUGCCAAAACAAUUCAACUUCCUGAUGGAAGGCAUCUGGCUUAUAAAGAACAAGGAGUCACAGCUGACAGGGCAAGAUUUUCGCUGAUUGCUCCUCCUUCUUUUCUUUCGUCGAGAUUAGCAAGAAUCCCAGGAAUCAAACCAUCCCUCCUGGAGGAAUUUGGGGCACUACUUGUGAUCAUUAAUUAACACUGUAAAAGGAACACUAUGAAAAAUAUGGGUAAAUCAUCUACUAUCCAGGCUUUCUUAUGAUCUCAUAGUACCUCCCCAUUUUUUUUCUGUCAGCUCUAGUGUGUACAUCUGUUGUUUAUGCUCGCAUCAUCAUCUCCUCUGAGGCAUCUAGAGGGUUGGCAUGCCAAAAAUAAUUCAAACUGCUUGAGUUCAUAUAAUUCACUGUGCCUUCUAAAAUAGAAGAAUAACCUUUAUAUUUAGCUUUUGGGAUAGCCAGCUAGGUAGCACCUAGGUCUAUGGGUGGUUUGAAAUACAUUCCCAAAGAAAAAGCAUUUUUAGCACUACAAUUUAGGUGCCUUCAUGAAAAAAGUCUCAUCUGAUCUGUACAAUCUACAGGCCUAAACUCUUAAAAAGCAUUAAUGAUUUACAAUUACUACUGUCACACGUGACUAUCCAUUGUUUCUAGCUUCAGUUUUGCCUAUUUUUAUCUAUGUGAGGUUCAGCAGCAUGUAAGGAGACUUGGCACAACUAUUACUGGUGUGUUAAGUCGGAUUGCAUUAUAUUUGAAUCUCACAAAAAACAUUCACUACAAGAAAUCUAUUUAAUCUAUGACAAAAACAAAUCGUCAUGGAUCACUGAAAAUUCGUCACAGGAAUUUGUCUAUGACGAUUAUACUAAUCGUCAUCUAUUGAGCAUCACAGAUUAAAUCUACCGACGUUUUCUUCGAUAUCUUCACGGAUCAGCACGAUCUAUGACGUUUUUUAACCGUCAUAAAACGCUUAUGGGCUCAUGUAGUCCAGCCAGGCCCAACCUUUAUGAUAAAAUUAAACGUCACAGAUGGUUGCUACGUGGUGGCCAACAUGGUAUGUUACAUGGUCGUUUUGACACGUGUGAUGAUGUGGCAGCUGACGUCAACAAUUUUUUUAUACGGCCCAUUAUUUUCUUAACAGCCCAUUAUUUUUUUAUGGCCCAUUAAUUUUUUUAACUGGCCCAAUUUAAAAUAGACCCAUUUCAAAACUGGCCCAUUUUGUGAACUAACUAUCAGAUCAAUGCCCACUAAACAGGCCCAUUAAAUUUGAGCCCACCAAAUGCAAUCCAAUUUCUCAUACCAUUUCAUAUGCAUACCUAAUUACAGAUACCAUCUCAGAUUCAACUAAUAACAGAUAAAAUCAGAAUACAACAGAAUUCAAACAAUAGUUCAUCUUAGAUUCAACCUAAUAACAGUCUCAGAUACUUCCAGUAUCAAACAAUAGUUCAACAGCAAGCAACAAAAAUUUGUGUAGCAGAACCAAGCUACCAACUUGUCCAAGAAUCACACAACAUUCAAGUAUACCCAAUUUUGGUUCAACAAACUGGUGAAAACACUUGCAGCACCACAAAAAUCAGCAGCAAAAAAUUGCUGAACCAAAAAAUCAGCAGCAAAAAAGUUGCUGGUCCAAGUUCAGGUUCCCCCCACCAGCAGGACCUGCAGCACCUGAAACGUGUUGUUUGAUUCCAGAAGCAAAGGCAGCAAAAGUUGAAAAACACCUUGCAACACCAAAAUACCAAAAACAAAUUAAGCCACUAUCAGUGAGGCACUCCAAAACCAAAACAACAUAUAAGCUGCAACAUGAAAAGAUUUGUUUCAGCAAUAUCUAACAUACCAUCAUGUCUAUCAGCUUACUCCAUUUUGACCAAGAACAACCUCAAGUUUAGCCUCCAACUCAAGUUUAGAAAUAAUGGAUGUUGGCACUGCCAUCAUUUUCAGAAAGAAGAUAACUACUAUCUAACUCUGGUUACCUUACAA